rnacentral:lncRNA from 1 species
AAAAAGGAAAAAGUUGCUAUGGUUUUCCUUGCAGCUCAAUUUUCACCCUUCCCAGGUUAAUAUUCACUAUUUUCUUUGGACCAAGUUUAUGCUGCCUUUUCUCUGCACACACAUCAUCAGAACUGAACAAAGAGGCAUCACAUAGAUUUAGAUGGUGCGUGUGAACAUGGUUUAAGAUAUGAUGUUUCUUGGAGAGAGCAAACUAACCUUUUCAAUUUCACGAUCUAUUAACUAAAAUAUUGAUCAACGACACAUUCUGAUCUUCAGCUUUGUUUUUGCCUUAUUGUCACUUAAUUAGGUAAUAUAGUAAGAAAGCAUAGUGAAUGAGACUCGAAGGAAUUUUGAUGUCAACUCGUGAUUAGCAGAACUUAAAAUGAUCUCUUUAGACAAGUAUCAGAUUGAAGGAACCAAUAUAGAACCAUAUUAAAUAGGGACUUAGCUGGAAGGUGAGAAAGAAAUUACAAUUGCUAUUGGUGCAACAAUACAAAAUUUAGCUUAUCUAUCUAUCAGAUUUCUUGACUCAAAUUCCAGCUAGCAAAGACGAAGAUUGAAUCCCCAAAAAUCCAUGCUAAACCAAAUAUAGACUCGUUGAUUUACCUCAAUUGAAUUAUUUAUAAAACAUUAUACAUGAACUUGUUUUAAAUACAUGACAAAAUCUAGCUGAGCUAAACCUUCCUGGAAUCUUAUGUGGAUUUUUAGAGUUUAGACCAAGGAGAAAUGGGGAAAUAAUUUGGGACAGAGGGUAGUGCACGCGGGAGCCUCAGAAUAGCGGGUAGCCUAGUGAGCUUUAUAGGAAAAAGGUGGCUUUUGUCUCAUUAGUGAGUUUGUUGCACAAUGCCCAUGCUACUGAUAUAAUGUCGUUCAUGACAUACCUCACCAAGUUCCAAUUCGGUAUGUCAUCCAAAUUUUAUGAGAGCCACAAAAUAUGUUGGAAGAAUAACUACGGAUCAAAUGGACCUCGAACUUUAUCUCACCGUGAACACCACAUAAAUCACAUUCUAACAGGAGGCCUCAGCCAUCGCCAAGGCAUCUCAUGGAAACAUGGGGGAAACUCCAAAUCGAACAGAGCAACACAAAAAUAGGAAUCAGGCAUGAGGAAAGGGGAAAAGCUAACCUGGGUAAUGGGAUCAGCAGACCGAGGAGGGUGCCACUGUGCCAGUGGCCUCCACAAGAAUAAUCUUGCACACGAUGUCGCCUCAAGCAAUGGAUCGCCAACACCAUAACCGAAGCACUUGUUGUUCAUGGUUUCAGUUAUGAGAUAUCCCGUCAACUGAGGUACAAAUCACAAAUAGGUCAGCUCACGAGCUAAAGUAUAUAAUCUUAUCCAAGAAAAGAUAAAAUAGUCUGCAGAAACAAAGCUUUAUUAAGUUCUUUACUAAGAAAGCGAACUUAGAAAUUACAGCCCAAACGGAGAAUAAAUGGUUUAGAACAGGCAUAAAUCUGAUCCAUCUUCCAUCAUCAAUAAUAAAAACAGGAAAUCUUGAAAUCCUUGAUCCAAACAUCAUAAGUCACAAAAAGUCGAAGCAAACUGUGAACUGAAAAUUACUCUAAAAAAACUUUUCUUUUGUUGACUCUAAACGAAGCCCAUGCCCUGUUACUCCAUUAUUUUGUUGACUCUAAACGAAGCGUGAUUUAUAUGUUCGAUUACAGCCAUGACUUGGCGAUAUUCUAAAGAAUAUAAUUAUAAGACCAGAGAUAGAAAACUAACAGAAAACGCUGAGAACAGAGAACACCCGUAAUAUAGUAAUGGUACAGAAGUUUGGCCGUAAGGUUGUGUGCGGCCGACGAGGGUGGCUCAGGGAGCGCACCACGCAGCAGCGUGCGAGUGCUGCGGAAGAUGGGGAUGGGAGGGAGGCAUUUGCGUGCGCAUUUGGUGAUCAAAUGGCUCAGGAGGGGACCGAUCUUGGGAUAGGAUCAGUCAACCAACAUGUAGUAGUGUCCUGACCGGAAAGGUAGGAUUUGCAUGAGCAGGUCAACAAAGAAUUAUAAUGUCAGCAUAUAGCAAUAUAACCAAUGAGCACUAUCAAGUUUCCAAAAAGAGGGCGUUUACCAACAGCUUAUCGUUAAUUUGCAGUCGUACCACUCAGUUAACAUUAAGAAUAACCACACCUCAUUCAAUUAUGAUUCAAACUACAUGAACAAUUAUCCAUGAAGUUCAUUUCUAAACUACAACUGCAGUUUAUAUGAUAGAAAAAUGUGAUACUACAACUGCAGUUUAUAUGGAUGCAUUUAUAUGCUUCCAUACACAUGCUAUGAAGCACGAAACAUGACAAGGAAAUUACAAAGGAUAGCCUAAAGCAAAACAAUGGGGCUUAACUAAAAUUUACCUAUUCUAAACUUGUUUCUGUCUAAACAGAGCAUCAACUCAAACCACAUAUAGCAGUGAAGCAACAAUGAUAUUUUCUCUAAAAAUCCAACACAGUGCCACCGACAGCACACAACAAACUUAAGUACAAAAAAUCAUCAUUUUCCUUUGAAAGGGAGGGCGUUGGUUGGGUAAUGUGUACCAAAAAAUCAUGCCAAAUUUGAACGAAAGCCUGGGCAACCACUGAGACAUAAAGGAUUCAGAGGGGAGGUAAGGAGGAUUGGGAGUAGGUCAUCUAUUCUAUGCAAGGAAGAUCACGGGGACCAAAAUACUACAUGAGGCUGAAAUGGAAAGGUUGCCCAAGGCAGACAAAAAUCAUCGGAAUCAUUUUCGAAUCUAAAAAUGGAAUAUAGACGGCAGUGAGAUGAGAUGGUAAACAUGGCGCUAGCCUGAGCUGCCGCCUGCUGCUUCUAAUUCUUAAAUUGAUAGACCAAGAAAACUGACCAGGCUUGUACACCAUGCCGACACUUCAAAACCGGAUGAAGCUAGUAAACCAAGACUGAGCAAAAAGACCUCCUCACGAGAAAUAACGCCUCCAACCUUUAUGCAAACACUAUCAGUUUGAUACAAACCGAAAGAAAAAAACAGAAACAAAAAUCAGGAUAAGUUAAGAAGUACAUACCUGAUCAUGCUAACCAUUGUCAGGUUUGAUCAUAAGUUGCUUCCUUGGUUUAGCUAGUACAGGUGUGGUUUAGCUGAGAACAGUCAUAAUUAUUCAGAAUAGCUAUUGGUUGCUUCUAUGGUUCAGCUGCAUCAAACCACUGGACAAACCUGAGAAAGUUGAUUGUUGCAACGGAGAGGAGACACUAUCUUACACACCUAAAUUAAACCAGCAAGUUAGCAUGCCAUUUAUUUAAAAAGAAACACCACAGCAGCCCAAUCACAAAAUUUCAUUCUUCUAUGUAGUUCUAAUUUUGAACAUGGCACAAUGAUAUAUUCCAAGUGAAAUCUAAAUUCAGUGUGUGCCGCACAUCUCUAUACACCCAGCCUAAAAUCUGAGAAGAGCGAAAACACAAAAUUGAGAAAGUUCCGUUGGUUAUUCUAAGUCUCUAGCUACAUGGAAGAAUGAGAGAUACAUGGGAAAAAUAUGCAUUGUUGGAGAUAGUAUAGAUGGAUAGACACAUGAAAUCUAGCAAAACCAAGUACCAUGAUCCAUGUCACCAUGCCUAUCUUAGCCUCUCAUACAAAGUUCAUACCUGCAUGGUCGUAGCUGUUGAUUACUCCAUUGUAAGCCCAAAAUGCAAAAAAAAACACAUUCUAUCUUGCAAGGAUUUGACAACCUACAGUGCAAACUGCUCAUAAGCAGCCCAUCGGGCUCGCCAUGCACAAGCCCAGAAAAAUCUUCAACAAACGGGCAAAAUCAUUUGUAGGCAACUCAAGUUUUACCCAGCCUACAAGAACUGAACCUCCUCAGCAACCUAAAAAUGUAGGACAAGGAAAGUAAGCAACAAUAUUUUGAGGAUGAACAAAAAUGCAUAAAGAUACAUGAGUUAACAAACUGAUUAUAUACCUUCAGAUUCAACAAUCAAUUAUCCUGGAAAGAUCAUAAGCCUGGAGAGCCCUUGUAACAGAAGUGUUCACAUACAUGGCAAGCUAAAUUUCGUUUUUAUAUAAAUCCGUAUAGCAAAGGCAAUGAGUAGUAGAUGUCUGAGGUCAAUGUUGCUUGCAGGCAAUAAAAUGGAAGUGGAAACAAAACAAAUGAAUAGACACUAAUCAUAUACAUGUGGCAUUACUAAUAUUUGGUUUGGGAAAACCUAUAUAUGGAAGUAAAGCCGUUGGAAUCAUAUAUGAACUGAACAAUGUGCAUCGACUAAAGCUAGAAUAACACCCAUUCAUAUGAUGUGGUUCACAUUUAUUCGACGAACUCCAUCACUCAGAAAUUAACUGAGCAUUGGGCCCUAGUCAUAUAGAUCUUACAUGCAUACGUCCUCGAUGAGACCACCAUCUCCCUCAAUCUAAGCUCAUCCUCCAACCAUGCAUCCAGGCAUGCUUACUAACUUGUACUUCGAGAUAUAGCUGCUUCUCAUACUCAAUGGCCUCGUCAAGCAUAGAUGCCUUGUUAAUCUAUAACAUGCAAACCAGUGCAAACAUUAACUCAUUAAUUUCAUCACAAACACGAACUCAGCAGCCGCAAAUCCACCGACAAAGAAAGAAGGAAAAAAAAGGUCAUGACCUUGUUGGAAUUGAGUACAGGGUCCGCAACACCUUCAAUCUUCUCGCCGAUCCCACUCCUCUGUUGUUGUGGCCUAAUCAAUGAUCAACCCCAACAAGCAAAGCGCACGACAGCAAGCAAGGUCAUUACCUUCUCGGAGUGGUUGUGCACCUCAGCGGUGCGGAUCCACUUGCUGUCGUCGCCCCCACAUGUGCCACCCCCACCCCACUCCCGUGGAAACUGUAGCCACCACCCACGGCAGCUCCUCGUAGUCCACUGUCUGAUGUUGCUGGCCCAGCGCCACCGACAGAAACGCCACAUCUUCUCCACCUCACGCUGACUUGACCGCUCAUGUAUCCUCUUCCUCGCCUUCGUCUUUCUAUUUUCUCUCAAACAACGAUUCAGUCAAGAUAAAAGGUUCUCCCUUAUCUUUAGUAGAUACAUAAAAAAAAUGUCAAGAUAAAAGGUUUGACAUAACUGUGCAGCUUUUGUAUCAAUCAAUCAUACAUAUACAAUCAUUUUGCCACUAUAAACAUCAUUGUAAUGGUGGAGUAAUCACUCUGAGCAAAUUUAAACUACAAACAGAAUAUCUAAGACUAAGCUCUGGUUGGGGUAUAUUUUAGAGAAGUUUAGUUUAGUGAAACUACGGACGCAAAGGUCUGAAGAUUUGCGCCUCUCCUUUUCCAUCUUGUGCCUCUCCUUUUUCAUCAGUAUCAAAUAGAAGAGUAGGAGCUACCUGCAGACAGGCUGGUGAUGAAUGGCAAGGAGACCCAACUCUGGCUGAAAACAGCGGCUCCCACACGCUGCUGGGAUGUGGCCAACCAUCACAAGCACGAGCAAACCUUCCCUAACAACUGAGGGCUCUGCUAUUGAGAUUAAAGGUCGCAGGUGUUGCGAUUGAAAAGGAGACGAGGCAACUGCCGCUUAGCUUCUGCAGAGGCUGUUGUGCUGUGCCGCAAUAGAGGUGGCGGGGGCCUUGAUGCAUCGUCGAUUCUCUCAUCCCCUGUCACUGAAAUCCGGCUCGGGAUGGGAUGGGAGAUCCUUGGAUGGCUGGGAAGGACCCUGAGAGCGGCGGCUCCGACGAGACGGGGAGGCCGAGAGGGAGGCGGCUGAUGCUCCCCUUCUCCCAUCGACGAUGAACUGGAGUCAUCCCCGGCGGCCGCGUCAAUCCCUUCACUUCAGAUCGGGAAGCGAGGAGAAGGUGAGGAGAGGUGGCGGCCUCUCGUGCACGGGACACGCCAGGGAUGAGGACGGAGCAGGAAGAGGCCACGGCGGCGGGGGCGGCGGCAAGCGAGGGCGCGUGGGAGGAGGUGGGGAUGAGCGGCACGAGAGGGGGAGAAUGGGGGGGGGGGCUAGGUUUUACUGCACGCACGCAGCCCAUCCCCACGUUUCUAUCCUGCUGGCAGAUGCACGCAGUAAACUGCGACGCAAACCUAUGAGCCGCCCACUCUCCGUUUGCUAGACCCCACAAUCUAACGAGCCCACCCGUCAUCCAGCGCCAGAACGAGAUCGUGCGUGAGAAAGAGACGGACGGUUGACCAGCUUCCACCAGGGUAAAAAGCAGCACAGUAAAAGGAUCGCUCGAUCCAGAAUUGCCGGCGUUCGCGGGUGCCCUCGCUAGGCGGGUAGUCUAGCAGCGUUUAUAUGUUAGAUUACUGUAUAAAAAGUUCAGUUAUGGCAUCAGCUGCGUGUUCAGAUGGAGUACUUGCGUUGCUAGCCAAUGUUUGUAAAAGUAAAAGUUCAAGCGUGACUGUGUGAGUCCUUGGAUUGAACGUCCCUCCAUUAGGUGUGUUUCUGCUAUAUAAAGUGCAGUGAGUAGUUGACUUAACUGAAUCAUUCAUGGGCAUAUACGUACGGACAACUUAGGCAUCAACAUGAGGUAAGUAGGUAGGUGUAGCCCUUUGGACUAUGUUACAGUGCAUGUGCACUUGUUUAUUCUUCUUUUGGAGAUACGCUUGCAGGGUAGUAUUUCAGUUUUUGCAGUUUGAGAAUUGAUUGCUCUCUCGACUGGGCGCAGCGGCACGGACCUCCUACUGACGAUGCUGCGCGGCGACGGCCGCAGCCUUGGCCACCCCUCGUUGUCUCCCUGUGAAGGUGCCGGCGACGCACGGCGACCCCCGACAGGCGCCGUCACCGUCCGUCGCCGCGGAUUGCACCGCCGCCACCGUCCCCGUUUUUGCUCUUCGGAAAUGCAAAUCACCAAGCUGAUGACUAUUGUAACCCUGUUCGAAGGCCAUACUAGGAAUGCUUGAAGUAUAUUUUGAGUUUGCUAAAAACUCUUUCCAAUGGGUGUUAUUUCCGUGUGCUAGUUAGUACUACUAAACUUUCCCGCAUGUUGAUGCAUCCCACGUGCACAUCUUCAGCCUCCCUCAUGUGUGUUCUGUGUGUAGAAAAGUGCUCAAUGAAAUUUAUGUUCUGAGAAGUUCAUAUAUUAUUGUGUAAAAAGGUCAUAUAUUGGAAGUAUCCAAAA